GAAGACAAACGUUUUAUUGUUAUUACUCAAAAAAUUGUGAUGAUAAUGAGUUGAACAACCUUUUGAGAAGAGGCAGACUACAGAGCUCUUAGUGAACUAUGUUAACUUUAAAAAUGUAAUUGGGUUACCAAAAAUCAAAUUAUGUUGUUGUGCAUAUAAUUUUCUUCAUGCAGUAUUGCUGAUUAUCAAAAUGUUUUGCAUGGAUAUGCUCUUUUAUGAUGCACUCAUUGACUUUAAACACCAAAUUAUACCUUUAGUAGUUAGCAGUGCCACAAAUGUUGAAAUACAUUUGGCCAUUCUCUGUCAAAUUAAAAUUUAUUCCAAAUAUGCUUUGUGUAUUUUCCAUUUUCUGUUCAAAAUUCAAUAAACACAACAACCCAUUUCUUUGUUUUUAAAUCAUAUUAUCUCAACUUUUCCUGUCACCAGACCUACCUUAUAACUGUUGUGUACAUAUUAGAAUAAGAGAUUUUAUUACCAGAUUAGUAUUUCCUCCUUGUUCAAUCUGCAAAUAAGCACAGGCUUUAAUUCAAGUCCUCUAAAUUGAACACACAUGCCAAAAACUCACUUAUCCCAUCAGGAUUAGUCUCUCUUAUGUAUGUUCAAUAAAGAAAAUAAAGAAAUUAUUUUUUUUAUGGUUAGUUAUUGGCUUGACAUUUUCUUUGGUGACAAACAUCAUGAUUCAUUGGAUCACUUCAGGCCAUAUCAAGAAAAAACUUGCAAAGAAGCUAGUUCAAUUCACAAAGAAGUCUUUAUUAUAUUCCCAUUCCACUGUGUCCAGCUGUUGAUUGUUGCUGAUUUGCUCAGUCCAACAAAUGGCUUCAUUCAUUUACAGGUUUCCCGGCAGAGACAUCAAUCACAAAAUCAGAAGAGAACAGCAAAAGGACAAAAGAGGCGGUAUCAUUUUCCCUUGUUUUGCUGCUACUCUUCUUUCUUUCACCUCGCUCCUCUCAGCUGCAGUGCUUGGAUUUACUGCCCAUUUGUGGUGACAAGGACCCAGCCAGGGAAUACUAUCCCCAGGUUCAGCACUGUGAGUAUCAGGAGUUCUGAGCACUGGGUAAGUAAUCACGAAUUAUCAUUGCAGCAAUAUGUGGCCGCAUGCGUGAUACUUAUUUACACGGGACCAAUUUUUCUGCAGGGUUGAAAUAGUAGGGUAGCGCAUUAUCUCACUAUAUAUCUGUACUGGUAGAAAUGAAACCCAUAGGUGUUCAGCAAAUCUCACUUCUCCCUUUCUAUUUUUAAAGGCAUUUAUUCUGAAGAUUAUUUAUGCACAUAUUGCUUGAGAGAAUAACAUAUCAUGAUAAUGCUAUUUUCCUGCAGAAUUGUUUAUCCACUUAUGCAAGCCCCAAAAAGCUUGGCAGGAGAAGAAAUCAGUAGCUAAGCAUCAAGGAGCAGCAGCACUAAGCCAGAUGCAUGCUGCCACCAGAAGACAGCCCAGACCCACCCCACAUCACAGCGAGCUGGGAGAUCCCAGCACUUGGGAUAGGGGUGAACACAGGAGGUGAAGGACAAGAGACAACCUGGACUCCUUCACAACUAUCUCCCAGCUCCAACUUUCACCCCCAGCCAUGUUCCCAUCCUAAUUCAUCAUUCCUUACUUCAAAUGCCAUUCUUCACAUAGCUAAACUGUGCUACAGUGCUGAAGGUUCAAACGCUACCAACCAUGCCUUGUAAGAAGGACACAACUGUCUAUUUUCUACAACUCAACAUAAAACACUCAUUGAAAGCAUACUGGCUUAAAAAUAGGCACUAAAAAUGGAGGAAAUGCCAAAUUUUAAAUGAGCUCUCUUUGUGUGCAAGCAUCAUGCUACUACGAUUGCACACAAACUUUCUCCAGAGAAUCCUCAUCUUGUUCAGCAAUGAGGAUAAAUACGUGAGGAGGCAGGAUAAUAACCACUCGUGCAGCCUGAAACCUGGAACUUGCCAGUGUUUUAAUUCCGUAAAUUUACAGUCUGAAUACCAUGAAUGGGUUUCCU